UACGUAGGGUGCGAGCGUUAAUCGGAAUUACUGGGCGUAAAGCGUGCGCAGGCGGUUUUGUAAGACAGGCGUGAAAUCCCCGAGCUCAACUUGGGAAUUGCGCUUGUGACUGCAAGGCUAGAGUGUGUCAGAGGGGGGUAGAAUUCCACGUGUAGCAGUGAAAUGCGUAGAGAUCCGGAGGAACACCAGUGGCGAAGGCGGCCGCCUGGACCUGACCUGACGCUGAGGCGCGAAGGCGCGGGGAGCAAACGGG
rnacentral:rRNA from 1 species